CUAUGGGAGGCAGCAGUGGGGAAUAUUGCACAAUGGAGGAAACUCUGAUGCAGCAACGCCGCGUGGAGGAUGACACUUUUCGGAGCGUAAACUCCUUUUAUAUAGGAAGAAGAUGACGGUACUAUAUGAAUAAGCGCCGGCUAACUCCGUGCCAACUGCCGCGGUAAUACGGAGGGCGCAAGCGUUACUCGGAAUCACUGGGCGUAAAGAGCGUGUAGGCGGAUUAAAAAGUCAGAAGUGAAAUCCUAUAGCUUAACUAUAGAACUGCUUCUGAAACUCUUAAUCUAGAAUAUGGGAGAGGUAGAUGGAAUUUCUGGUGUAGGGGUAAAAUCCGUAGAGAUCAGAAGGAAUACCGAUUGCGAAGGCGAUCUACUAGAACAUUAUUGACGCUGAGACGCGAAAGCGUGGGGAGCAAACAGGAUUAGAUACCCGCGUAGUC
rnacentral:rRNA from 1 species